AUGUCCUUUAAAUUUAGUCCCGUGAGGCUAGCAAGGCAGCAUCGUUUAAAUUUGGUCGACGUUUUGGUCGCGCUUUUAAACAAUAUGUUGGAGCACUGGUUCACGAGUCGUGGAGCAGUGCUUUUUUAUU
rfam:Lactobacillus mucosae LM1, complete genome.